GUGAAAAGGCUGAAAAUUUUGCAGAAAAGAGGUGAAUCAGCAGAAUUUCUGCAGAAAAGAGGCAAAGGAGCAGAAACUUGCGCUGAAAAGAGAUGAAUCAGCAGAGUUUCUGCUGAAAAGAGUUUUUUUUUUUCUGAAAACAGCCCAAAAAAAUGGAAUUUGUGCUGAAAAGGGGUGAAAGAAAUGAAAAUUUUGCUGAAAAGGGGUGAAGAAGCUAAAGUAUACCAAAUCAAAGUAUUUGUGCCAAAACAUAGUGUUUCUGCCAUAUUGUGGUAUUUGUGCCACAAAAGUUACUACAUUACAACAUGAAUACGGAUUAAAGAUGAAAGAAACUGGCAACAAAUUCCUCC
ensembl:lncRNA